UACAGAGGUGGCAAGCGUUGUUCGGAAUUACUGGGCGUAAAGGGCGCGUAGGCGGUUCGUUAAGUCCUGUGUGAAAUCCCCCGGCUCAACUGGGGAACUGCACAGGAAACUAGCGGGCUUGAGUUCGGGAGAGGGAAGCGGAAUUCCGGGUGUAGCGGUGAAAUGCGUAGAUAUCCAGAGGAACACCGGUGGCGAAGGCGGCUUCCUGGACCGACACUGACGCUGAGGCGCGAAAGCUAGGGGAGCAAACGGG
rnacentral:rRNA from 1 species